GAAAAUUCAAUGAUGUCCAUAUUACAUACCAACAACAUGGUACGUCCUCUGUUAGCCAUCCUCCUCCUGUCAUCAGCUUUGAACCACUUGUCAUCUGCUGCAACACUAGCUGAUAGUAGCACCCACACCAGCAGAGAUGCUCUGCUCUGCCUCAAGUCCCGCCUUGGCGGUACCACACUGGCCAUGGCUACGUGGAACGACGGUGCCUCACCGGAUUUCUGCACUUGGCUUGGGGUCACAUGUACAAGGAGGAAAGGGCAACCACCCCUCGUGGUGGACUUGGAUAUGGAAGCCGAAGGACUCUCCGGUGAGAUCCCACCAUGCAUCUCCAACCUCACUUCUCUGGUAAGAAUCCACUUGCCCAACAACCAGCUCUCCGGCCAUAUCCCGUCGGAACUUGGUCGGCUCUCUGGACUCAGGUACCUCAACCUCAGCGUCAACACGCUCAGCGGCACCAUCCCUCUCAGUCUUGGUGCGCUUCACAACCUUUCUUCUCUAGACUUGGGUAGCAAUGGACUAUCCGGUGAAAUUCCACCUUUCAUGAAGUCAAAGCUCACAUACCUAAGUCUAGUCGGAAACAGCCUUACCGGAGUCGUGUCGCCAUCGAUGGCAAAUCUCUCAUCCCUUACAUACCUCUUGCUUGCGCAAAACCAGUUGCAAGGAUCCAUUCCUGAUUUGGGUGAGCUGUCAAGCCUACAAAACCUUGAUCUCUCCUACAACAAUCUAUCAGGGACAGUACCGCCCUCCAUUUACAAUUUGUCCUCAUUAAACUACCUUGGGUUGUCCAACAAUAAUCUUGGAGGAACACUACCUUCUGGUAUGGGCAACACACUUCCUAACAUCCAAAUACUGAUGAUGCAUAAUAAUCAUUUUGAGGGGGCUAUCCCAGCCUCGCUGCAGAAUGCCUCCAGCAUGACG
rnacentral:rRNA from 1 species